rnacentral:tmRNA from 1 species
GGGGGUGAUUGGUCUCGACUUCGGAUGUCGAGCCAGGGGAAGCGGGUCGAGGAUCCUGGGAUGAUCUCGUUAACCAUGCCCAGGAACCAAUAGGUGCCAAUUCUCAGCGCACCGUUGCUCUCGCUGCCUGACGUAGCGUAGAGCGACUGCAAGCCCGGGGGUGCUCCCGCUCCGGUCGCUUGCAUCAGCUAGGGGGCUUCACCGUCGCACCCGGUCACGGGGUGCGGCGGGACAUCAAACAGUGACUGAGCCCGUCGACAGGUCUGCUCGUGGACCGGUCGGGGCCGAGAAAAUCGCCUCACGAGAUGCACCCGGAGAAGCCCUGGUUCCACGACGAAGGACGCGGGUUCGAUUCCCGCCACCUCCACAG